AGAGUUUGAUCCUGGCUCAGGACGAACGCUGGCGGCGUGCUUAACACAUGCAAGUCGAACGAAGUUAAGGGGCUUGCUCCUUAACUUAGUGGCGGACGGGUGAGUAACGCGUGAGCAACCUGCCCGUAUCUGGGGAAUAACACAAAGAAAUUUGUGCUAAUACCGCAUAUUAUCUUUGUAGGGCAUCCUACUUAGAUGAAAGAUUUUAUCGGAUACGGAUGGGCUCGCGUCCCAUUAAAUAGUUGGUGAGGUAACGGCCCACCAAGUCGAUGAUGGGUAGCCGACCUGAGAGGGUGAUCGGCCACAUUGGAACUGAGAAACGGUCCAGACUCCUACGGGAGGCAGCAGUGGGGAAUAUUGGGCAAUGGAGGCAACUCUGACCCAGCAACGCCGCGUGAAUGAUGAAGGUCCUCGGAUUGUAAAGUUCUGUGAUGGAGGAAGAAGAAAGUGACAGUACUCCAAGAGCAAGUCACGGCUAACUACGUGCCAGCAGCCGCGGUAAUACGUAGGUGACAAGCGUUGUCCGGAAUGACUGGGCGUAAAGCGUGCGUAGGCGGUUGAACAAGUUAGUGAUGAAAUUCCAGGGCUUAACCCUGGCGCUAUUACUAAAACUGUUUGACUUGAGUGCGAGAGAGGUAAGUGGAAUUCCUAGUGUAGCGGUGGAAUGCGUAGAUAUUAGGAGGAACACCAGUGGCGAAGGCGACUUACUGGCUCGUUACUGACGCUGAGGCACGAAAGCGUGGGGAGCAAACAGGAUUAGAUACCCUGGUAGUCCACGCCGUAAACGAUGAAUGCUAGGUGUGGGGGGACUGACCCCCUCCGUGCCGGAGUUAACACAUUAAGCAUUCCACCUGGGGAGUACGACCGCAAGGUUGAAACUCAAAGGAAUUGACGGGGGCCCGCACAAGCAGUGGAGUAUGUGGUUUAAUUCGACGCAACGCGAAAAACCUUACCAGAGAUUGACAUCCUAAGAAGUCGGCGUAAUGGCUGAUGUGCCCUUCGGGGAACUUAGAGACAGGUGGUGCAUGGUUGUCGUCAGCUCGUGUCGUGAGAUGUUGGGUUAAGUCCCGCAACGAGCGCAACCCUUACCUUUAGUUGCUACGCAAGAGCACUCUAGAGGGACUGCCGUUGACAAAACGGAGGAAGGUGGGGAUGACGUCAAAUCAUCAUGCCCCUUACGUUUUGGGCUACACACGUACUACAAUGGCGCAAACAAAGGGAAGCGAAAGAGCGAUCUGGAGCAAACCCCAUAAAAGGCGUCUCAGUUCAGAUUGCAGGCUGCAACUCGCCUGCAUGAAGCUGGAAUUGCUAGUAAUCGCGGAUCAGCGUGCCGCGGUGAAUACGUUCCCGGGCUUUGUACACACCGCCCGUCAAACCAUGAAAGUCGGAAACACCCGAAGUCAGUGAGCUAACCGCAAGGGGGCAGCUGCCGAAGGUGGGUUCGGUGAUUGGGGUUAAGUCGUAACAAGGUAACCGU
rnacentral:rRNA from 1 species